UACGUAGGGUGCAAGCGUUGUCCGGAAUUAUUGGGCGUAAAGAGCUUGUAGGCGGUUUGUCGCGUCUGCUGUGAAAUUUCGGGGCUCAACCCCGGGAGGCGGGUGGAUACUGUCAAGCUCGAGUCCGGAAGAGGAGUGUGGAAUUCCUGGUGUAGCGGUGAAAUGCGCAGAUAUCAGGAGGAACACCAAUGGCGAAGGCAGCACUCUGGGACGUGACUGACGCUGAGACGCGAAAGCGUGGGGAGCAAACAGG
rnacentral:rRNA from 1 species